rnacentral:rRNA from 1 species
UCGGGAAUUUUGGGCAAUGGGCGAAAGCCUGACCCAGCAACGCCGCGUGAAGGAUGAAGUGUUUCGGUAUGUAAACUUCGAAAGAAUAGGAAGAAUAAAUGACGGUACUAUUUAUAAGGUCCGGCUAACUACGUGCCAGCAGCCGCGGUAAUACGUAGGGACCAAGCGUUGUUCGGAUUUACUGGGCGUAAAGGGCGCGUAGGCGGCAAUUCAAGUCAUCUGUGAAAUCUCCGGGCUUAACUCGGAACGGUCAGAUGAUACUGCUUUGCUAGAGUGCAGAAGGGGCAAUCGGAAUUCUUGGUGUAGCGGUGAAAUGCGUAGAUAUCAAGAGGAACACCUGAGGUGAAGACGGGUUGCUGGGCUGACACUGACGCUGAGGCGCGAAAGCCAGGGGAGCAAACGGGAUUAGAUACCCAAGUAGUCCCUGAGCGGGCUGGCAAGGCGCAU